CUCUCUCUCUCUCUCUCUCUCUCUCUCCUCUCUCCUCUCUCUCUCUCCCUCUCCUUCUCCCCCUCCCUCCCCGUCUCCUCCUCCCUCCUCCCUCCUUCCAUUCUCCCCAAUCUCCCUCUCUCCCUCUUCCUGCCUCCCUCUCUUCUGUCUUCUUCCCUCUCUCUCUCCCCACCUCUUCGCUCGCUCUCUCUCUCCCUCUCCCACCUCUUUCUCUCUCUCCUCCCUCCUCCCCUUCCCCUUCUCUCUCUCCUUUCCUCCCUCCCUUUUCUCUCCGUUCUCUCACUCUGUUCUUGUUUCAAGAUUUUUGCUAUUUGCCAGGUUUCAUACCGGAACAAGUACAGUUGGAGAGCAAAAGUUGCAGAGGGCGUGGGGACAGAGCAAAACAAUUAAAGGCACAUUUGAGGCCAGUUCCGGUUUUCGGGGCGCUGCUGGUGGUGGUGGUAGUUGGUGGCUGUCCGUUCAGAAACAACUCUUGUCAUAAAACAAAAAUAACCAGCAGUAUGUGUAGAUUGCUUGAGUUGAUGGCAUCUAUGUCUUCCUCCUCUUGCUUUCUGUAGCUCAGUUAGCAACCUCAUUAUGAAACAUGUUACAAGUAGACUGUCAGACCGCACCCUGCCCCAGCGCCCCGUUUUUGGCAAGUUCUGUGUUCUAGACAUAUCCACCAAUCUAUAGUUAUACCCCACUAUCUUUUUUUUUUUUUUUUUUAGUUUUGGUCUAGUUGAACCUCUUUAUACUGAAAAGCAACACUUCCUUCCCACAUUUGUUUUGGAAAAACUAAAGUCCGUAGGAAUUAGGAAUUCAAAGGCUUCAGAAAUAUUUCUGAUUCAGCAGAAAACGGGCUAUUCAAAAAUGCAGACUAGACCUUUACUUGAUUAAAAAUUUUUUUUCCUUUCCCACCUCCUGCAAAUCUGAAUUCCCACUUGUAUGUUGAAUGUAGAAAGUCGCUAUCUCUGCCGUUGGCACCUUGUUUCCAGAGGGCGAGUCUCCAGAGCGCAUCAGCUGCAGGAAAGAGAUCCUGUUGGAAGGAAGUACUCUUUGCUGUGUCUGCUGUCACCAGGCCAAGUAUCCAUCUUACUUUCUGCAGAUGAUCUUAUUUUUGCAUCAUUCUCUGUUCCCUGGAAGAUAUUGGAGGUAUGUGGAGCCAUUUGUUCGAGCAUCAUUUCUGUUUUGAACAUGGUAAUUGUCUUUUUUUGGCAGCAGCUCGUUUGGGAAGCUCCUGGCUUACUAAGUCUUCCCUACAAGAUUUUGGUAGAAUGUGAUUGCUGGACUUGUUACUACAGGAUUUUCUACCAGGGGAUUCCCCUGUGCUACCCAGGAUGGACCAGAUUCACCUAUGGGCUAUUUAUUUUCAAGAUGGAGUCUCGCUCUGUACCCCAGCCUGGAGUGUGGUGGCGCGAUCUCGGCUCACUGCAGCCUCUGCUUCCUGGGUUCAAGCGAUUCUCCUGCCUCAGCCUCCUGAGUAGCUGGGAUUACAGGCACCCACCACCAGGCCCGGCUAAUUUUUGUAUUUUUAGUAGAGAUGGGGUUUUGCCAUGUUGUCCAGACUCGUUUAAAACUCCUGACCUCAGGUGAUUUGCCCACUUCGGCCUCCCAAAGUGCUGAUAUUACAGUCAUGAGCCACUGCACCCAGCCCUACAAUUACACCUCUGCUUUCACCCUCAUUUGAGAGUCUCUGCCUUAGCAAGCAAUAUUGCUCAUGGGGAAGGAUCUUUUCCUUGAGUAAGUUGGUGAUAGGAUGUCCUGCUACUUUGGGGGCUAAAAGGAAGGAUUCAUAUUUUACUUGUUGGUCUAUCAUGCUGCUGAUCAUUAAAUCAUUAUGUUUCUUCCUUCCUUUUUUUUUUUCUUUUUGUAAGAGACGGGUCUUCAGGGUCUUGCUCUGUUGCCCAGCUGGAGUGCAAUGGUGUGAUCAUAGCUCACUGCAGCCUCAAACUUUGGGCUCAGAUAUCCUCCCACUUCAGCCUCAUGAGUAGCUGGGACUACAGGUGCAUGCCACCACACCUGGGUAAUUAAAAUUUAUUUUUAUUUAUUUAAAAUUGUUUUUUAGAGACAGGGUCUCACUAUGUUGCCCAGGCUGUUCUUGAACUCCCAGCCUUAAGUGAUCCGCCUGCCUUGGCCUCUUAAAGUGUUGGGAUUACAGGCGUGAGCCACUGCACCUGG
rnacentral:lncRNA from 1 species